rnacentral:rRNA from 1 species
GGCGGUGGCGAUAGCUAAGGGGAAACACCUGUUCCCAUUCCGAACACAGAAGUUAAGCCCUUAAACGCCGAUGGUACUGGCCUGGAGUCGGGCCGGAAGAGUAGGUAGCUGUCGCUU